UACGGAGAGUGCAAACGUUGUUCGGAUUCACUGGGCGUAAAGGGCACGUAGGCGGCUCGGCAAAUCGGUCGUGGAAUCCCGACGCUUACCGUCGGAACGGUGGCCGAAAAUACCGGGCUCGAGGGCGUGAGGGGUCACUGGAACUCCUGGUGAAGCGGUGAAAUGCGUAGAUAUCAGGAGGAACGCCGGAGGCGAAAGCGAGUGACUGGCGCGUUCCUGACGCUGAGGUGCGAAAGCUAGGGGAGCAAACAGG
rnacentral:rRNA from 1 species